rnacentral:misc_RNA from 1 species
AACGCACAUUGCGCUCCUGGGUAUUCCUGGGAGCAUGCCCGUUUGAGAAUCAGUGAAAACCUCAACACCUUCUGUGUUUCCUAGUGAAACAGGGUUGGCUGUUGGAUUUGGGUCAUUUGCGAACAGGUGUUUCUGAUGCGGGGGAUUGUUGAUGUUAGUGCUUUCGGGUUCGCCCGAGGGGGGGCACUGACCUUGACAUGCAUCCAGGGGUGUAAGCACCGCAAAGCAAUGAUCUUAAAUUCAAUGUCCGCUGCUCCUUCGUAAGUAGGUGCAUUGGCCCGAGUGCUGGAAUGGUCUCACGACUUUUUUUAUCUCUCGAGUCCGCAUUUGCAGACGGCGUGAUGUCGGUGUGAACUCACAACUGAUUGUAAAGAGAACUGGUUCCGUAAGGUUCCUUCUCUCAACUUGGUCUCAAAUCGGGUAGGAGAACCCGCUGAACUUAA